UGUAUGAUCCUAGUGAGAUACUCCAAGAAAAGGUGGAGUGGUCACUUCUAAGCAUCAAGUUCACGCUUUUACUGGGUUUGGACCCACGUUGCUUGAAACGACCUCGUUUCUUUUUUCUGUUAAAAAAUUCAAUCUCAAUUACAAUUCUCCGAGAACACUUCCAUUUCAGUUAAGCAGAAUGUCGUCAAACGACCUUGUCUUCUUUUAAUGAAAUUCAAACUCCCAGGCAUUUUUUAAUCGAAUGUAGUUGUUUUCUCUACCAUCAAGCUUACAAAAGGGCAUAACCGAUGGCGUCAUCCUCUCCCCCUAGCGACGGAUUCUCUUUGGCGGCCCUCUGCCCCUCCUUAGCGCGUCUUCUCCGCCCUCUUCCGCGAAAGGAACCGUUUCCGUCUACUCCGACCAGACUGCUGCACCAUCAUCUAGCGACGGGAAAUGCUUUUGGUUCCGGUGGCUGCUCCGGUGGAGGCACUGCGAGCCCCUCCCGGAUUUUUUUGUGUCGCUUUUUGCAAGCGUGGUGUGGCAGUGGCUAGAUUGGUCAGCCCAUGGUGGCUUCCCCAACUCCGCUAGAUUUGUCGACUGUCUGAUGUCUUCAUCGGCCUAGGUUUCUCGCAUAAUCUGUUGGUCCCACUGUGAAGGGAACCUGCCGCAUCAGUAUAGCUCAAGACUCCUGUUUUGCUCUUCUGUCAAUGUUUCUGUGGAACAUCUACUCCAGAGAACUAAGAUCUACAUGGAUUAAUGGAUUGAGGACACUCCCUCCUAGUUCUUACGGGGGUCUAGGUGGGAUGGCAAGAGGUUUUAAUCGGGAUCUCGGAAUGGCUACUGCAUUUGUUUUGCGGCUAUUUGCUUGGUGUUUUUCACCUAGUACUUCCUAUAUACGUAGUUUGCCAAAGAGGAUCCAUCCGAUUGUUUCCAAUCUUGUAGUUUUCAGUUUCUUGAGCAUUUUGUCAUAUAUUCUUUUCAUUAGUGAACGAAUCCUCAUUACUUCCUAGAGAAAAAGGAAAAAAUAAUUUAAAAAAAAUACAAAAGGGCAUCGCUUUGCUUAA